rfam:Thermoplasmatales archaeon DG-70 WOR1_52_54_1841, whole genome shotgun sequence.
GCGGCUGUAGUGUAGCGGUUAGCACUUGGGCCUUCCAAGCCCACGACCCGGGUUCAAAUCCCGGCAGCCGCA